rnacentral:misc_RNA from 1 species
UCGAGCGUCAUUUCACCACUCCAGCCUCGCUGGGCCUUGGGCGUCGCCGCGUGUCGGCGCGCCCCAAUGUCUCCGGCUGAGCCGUCCGUCUCAAAGCGUUGUGGCAACUCAAUCCGCUUGCGGGAUCGGACGGUUCGACGCCGUUAAACCUCCACACAAAGGUUGACCUCGGAUCAGGUAGGGAUACCCGCUGAACUUAA